UUUAUUGUCAAAGGGUCAGAACUCUCAUGU
rnacentral:piRNA from 1 species